rnacentral:rRNA from 1 species
UAGCUAUGUGUGGCAGGGAUAAACGCUGAAAGCAUCUAAGCGUGAAGCCCCCCUCAAGAUGAGAUUUCCCAUUUCUUAAGAAAGUAAGAUCCCUGAAAGAAGAUCAGGUAGAUAGGUUUGGAGUGGAAGUAUGGCGACAUAUGGAGCGGACAAAUACUAAUCGAUCGAGGACUUAACCAAU